rnacentral:rRNA from 1 species
CAGUGGGGAAUUUUCCGCAAUGGGCGAAAGCCUGACGGAGCAAUCUCGCGUGAGGGAUGACGGCCUAUGGGUUGUAAACCUCUUUUUUCAGGGAGGAAUAAAUGACGUGUACCUGAAGAAUAAGCAUCGGCUAACUCCGUGCCAGCAGCCGCGGUAAGACGGAGGAUGCAAGUGUUAUCCGGAAUCACUGGGCGUAAAGCGUCUGUAGGUGGUUUAAUAAGUCAACUGUUAAAUCUUGAAGCUCAACUUCAAAAUCGCAGUCGAAACUAUUAGACUAGAGUAUAGUAGGGGUAAAGGGAAUUUCCAGUGGAGCGGUGAAAUGCGUAGAUAUUGGGAAGAACACCGAUGGCGAAGGCACUUUACUGGGCUAUUACUGACACUCAGAGACGAAAGCUAGGGUAGCAAAUGGGAUUAGAUACCCCAGUAGUCCUAGCUGUAAACCAUGGAUACUAGAUGUUGAACAGAUCGACC